rnacentral:rRNA from 1 species
CCCAGACUCCUACGGGAGGCAGCAGUGAGGCCUCUUGGUCAAUGGCCGCGCGGCUGAACCCGCCCAGUCGCGUGCGGGCAGACGGCCCUCCGGGUUGUAACCCUCUUUUGUCGGGGCGCCCAGCGAGUCCCGUGUGACUCAUUGCGCGUACCCGAAGCAAAAGCAUCGGCUACCUCCGUGCCAGCCGCCGCGGUAAUACGGCGGCUGCGAGCGUUAUCCGGAUUUAUUGGGUUUAAAGGGUGCGCAGGCGGAGGGGCAAGUCAGCGGUCAAAUUGCGGGGCUCAACCCCGUACUGCCGUUGAGACUGCAUCCCUUGAGUGCGCGAGAAGUAUGCGGAAUGCGUGGUGUAGCGGUGAAAUGCAGAGAUAUCACGCAGAACUCCGAUUGCGGAGGCAGCAUACCGGCGCGCAACUGACGCUAAUGCACGAAAGCGUGGGUAUCGAACAGGAUUAGAUACCCUUGUA